rnacentral:tRNA from 1 species
AAAUAAGUAAGCUAAAUAUUACAAAAGCUUUUAGGUUCAUACCCUAAAUAUAGAUUAAUUUCUCUUAUUUU